AUGUAACCGCCAUUGGGGUAGGAAGCCUGGAAACCUCUCCGUUGGACUUGAGGUGGCAGACCUACCCUAAAUCUGGGGCACACCCUUUGUUGACAACUGCAUAGAAGGACAAAGAAGAAGGAAACUUUGGCUUUUUGCCUGCUUGCCCUCACUUUCACUGACAAGUCCACCCAUCCAGUCUCUGCAGGCAUUCAUUUGCUGGUGCUGGAACAGAGUUCUUCAGCCUCCAGCCUGGAUUGAAAAGCAGCAGGUCUCUAGGACUUUCUGGGGACUUUGGCACCUGAAUGUGACUGCUGUGAUAUCUGGUCCCAUGGACUGAACAGCUACCAAAUCCCUGGCUUUCUGUCAGGAAGAAUCCAGUAAGCAGCACCUCCUCCAUGGCUUAUGCAGCGGCUCCUGUCUCCAGGUUCCUGUAGUGUUUGGUUUCCUGGAUUGGUUUCCCUCCGUGGACUGUGUGAUUCAGGGUGUGUAAGCCAAAUAAACCCUUUCCUCCUCAA